rnacentral:rRNA from 1 species
UACGUAGGGGGCAAGCGUUGUCCGGAAUAAUUGGGCGUAAAGCGCGUGUAGGCGGCCUUGUAAGUCCGUUCUGAAAGCCCGGGGCUCAACCCCGGGAGGCGGAUGGAUACUGCAAGGCUCGAGUCCGGAAGAGGCGAGUGGAAUUCCCGGUGUAGCGGUGAAAUGCGCAGAUAUCGGGAGGAACACCAAUGGCGAAGGCAGCUCGCUGGGACGUUACUGACGCUGAGGAGCGAAAGCGUGGGGAGCGAACAGG